AGUGAACGCUGGCGGUAGGCCUAACACAUGCCAGUCGAACGGCAGCACAGUAAGAGCUUGCUCUUACGGGUGGCGAGUGGCGGACGGGUGAGGAAUACAUCGGAAUCUACUUUUUCGUGGGGGAUAACGUAGGGAAACUUACGCUAAUACCGCAUACGACCUACGGGUGAAAGCAGGGGAUCUUCGGACCUUGCGCGAUUGAAUGAGCCGAUGUCGGAUUAGCUAGUUGGCGGGGUAAAGGCCCACCAAGGCGACGAUCCGUAGCUGGUCUGAGAGGAUGAUCAGCCACACUGGAACUGAGACACGGUCCAGACUCCUACGGGAGGCAGCAGUGGGGAAUAUUGGACAAUGGGCGCAAGCCUGAUCCAGCCAUACCGCGUGGGUGAAGAAGGCCUUCGGGUUGUAAAGCCCUUUUGUUGGGAAAGAAAAGCAGCAGGUUAAUACCCCGCUGUUCUGACGGUACUCAAAGAAUAAGCACCGGCUAACUUCGUG
rnacentral:rRNA from 1 species